CAAAAUUUACAAUGCUCAAAGAAAUAGGUCUGGCCGGAAAUCAAUAGUGUGGCAAAACAUGGGGGGUAUUCCGGCACAACAAAAUGUGAAGGACUGUGGCAUAUUCAUCAUGCGGUACAUGAAGGAAAUAAUUGAGGAUAAGAACUUGGGUUUUGCUUCAAAGUGGCAGCGACGAUCCGAAUUGAUCUACACCCAAAAGGAUGUUGAUGUUGUGAGGUCAGAGUGGGCUAAGUUUGUGAUGAAGUAUCUUAUUUCAUAGCUGUGAUGGUUGUUCAAGGCAGGGCUCUUAUUUUGGGGUAA